GAUGAACGCUAGCGGCAGGCCUAAUACAUGCAAGACGAACGGUAAGUUGAGUAGCAAUACUUAGCCAAGAGUGUCGUACGGGUGCGUAACACGUAUGCAACCUACCCUAUACAGGAGGAUAGCCUAGGGAAACCUGGAUUAACCCUUCAUAGUAUUAUUGGAUGGCAUCAUUUGAUAAUUAAAACUGAGGUGGUAUAGGAUGGGCAUGCGUCUGAUUAGUUAGUUGGCGGGGUAAUGGCCCACCAAGACGAUGAUCAGUAGGGGUUCUGAGAGGAAGAUCCCCCACACUGGCACUGAGAUACGGGCCAGACUCCUACGGGAGGCAGCAGUAGGGAAUAUUGGUCAAUGGAUGCAAGUCUGAACCAGCCAUGCCGCGUGCAGGAAGAAGGCCUUCUGGGUUGUAAACUGCUUUUGCCAGGGGAUAAAAUUCCAUGCGUGGAAACUGAAGGUACCUGGUGAAUAAGCCACGGCUAACUACGUGCCAGCAGCCGCGGUAAUC
rnacentral:rRNA from 1 species